rnacentral:rRNA from 1 species
UAGGGAAUCUUCCGCAAUGGACGCAAGUCUGACGGAGCAACGCCGCGUGAGUGAAGAAGGAUUUCGGUUCGUAAAACUCUGUUGUUAGAGAAGAACAGCGCAUAGAGUAACUGUUAUGCGUGUGACGGUAUCUAACCAGAAAGCCACGGCUAACUACGUGCCAGCAGCCGCGGUAAUACGUAGGUGGCAAGCGUUGUCCGGAUUUAUUGGGCGUAAAGCGAGCGCAGGCGGUUAGAUAAGUCUGAAGUUAAAGGCAGUGGCUCAACCAUUGUAGGCUUUGGAAACUGUUGAACUUGAGUGCAGAAGGGGAGAGUGGAAUUCCAUGUGUAGCGGUGAAAUGCGUAGAUAUAUGGAGGAACACCGGUGGCGAAAGCGGCUCUCUGGUCUGUAACUGACGCUGAGGCUCGAAAGCGUGGGGAGCGAACAGG